rnacentral:rRNA from 1 species
CGGGAAUUUCGGGCAAUGGGCGAAAGCCUGACCCAGCAACGCCGCGUGAGGGAUGAAGUAUUUCGGUAUGUAAACCUCGAAAGAAUGGGAAGAAUAAAUGACGGUACCAUUUAUAAGCUCCGGCUAACUACGUGCCAGCAGCCGCGGUAAUACGUAGGGAGCAAGCGUUGUUCGGAUUUACUGGGCGUAAAGGGCGCGUAGGCGGCGCGGUAAGUCACUUGUGAAAUCUCUGAGCUUAACUCAGAACGGCCAAGUGAUACUGCUGUGCUAGAGUGCGGAAGAGGCAACCGGAAUUCUUGGUGUAGCGGUGAAAUGCGUAGAUAUCAAGAGGAACACCUGAGGCGAAGGCGGGUUGCUGGGCCGACACUGACGCUGAUGCGCGAAAGCCAGGGGAGCAAACG